ensembl:snRNA U7 U7 small nuclear RNA
UAAUGUUACAGCUCUUUUAGAAUUCGUCUAGCAGGCUUUCCAGUUUUUACCAGAAAGCUCCC